rfam:Danio rerio chromosome 4, GRCz11 reference primary assembly.
AGCCUAGUCUAAGGUGCUGGAUUUAGGCUCCAGUCUCUUUGGUGGCGUGGGUUUGAAUCCCAC